CGAUGAGUAGGGCGGGACACGUGGUAUCCUGUCUGAAUAUGGGGGGACCAUCCUCCAAGGCUAAAUACUCCUGACUGACCGAUAGUGAACCAGUACCGUGAGGGAAAGGCGAAAAGAACCCCGGCGAGGGGAGUGAAAAAGAACCUGAAACCGUGUACGUACAAGCAGUGGGAGCCUCUUAAUGGGGUGACUGCGUACCUUUUGUAUAAUGGGUCAGCGACUUAUAUUCUGUAGCAAGGUUAACCGAAUAGGGGAGCCGAAGGGAAACCGAGUCUUAACUGGGCGUUAAGUUGCAGGGUAUAGACCCGAAACCCGGUGAUCUAGCCAUGGGCAGGUUGAAGGUUGGGUAACACUAACUGGAGGACCGAACCGACUAAUGUUGAAAAAUUAGCGGAUGACUUGUGGCUGGGGGUGAAAGGCCAAUCAAACCGGGAGAUAGCUGGUUCUCCCCGAAAGCUAUUUAGGUAGCGCCUCGUGAAUUCAUCUCCGGGGGUAGAGCACUGUUUCGGCAAGGGGGUCAUCCCGACUUACCAACCCGAUGCAAACUGCGAAUACCGGAGAAUGUUAUCACGGGAGACACACGGCGGGUGCUAACGUC
rnacentral:rRNA from 1 species